rnacentral:rRNA from 1 species
AUUGAACGCUGGCGGUAGGCCUAACACAUGCAAGUCGAACGGCAGCACAGUAAGAGCUUGCUCUUACGGGUGGCGAGUGGCGGGCGGGUGAGGAAUACAUCGGAAUCUACUUUUUCUUGGGUGAGAACGUGGGGAAACUUACGCUAAUACCGCAUACGACCUACGGGUGGAAUCAGGGGAUCUUCGGACCUUUCGCGAUUGAAUGAGCCGGUGUCGGAUUAGCUAGUUGGCGGGGUAAAGGCCCACCAAGGCGACGAUCCGUAGCUGGUCUGAGAGGAUGAUCAGCCACACUGGAACUGAGACACGGUCCAGACUCCUACGGGAGGCAGCAGUGGGGAAUAUUGGACAAUGGGCGAAAGCCUGAUCCAGCCAUACCGCGUGGGUGAAGAAGGUCUUCGGAUUGUAAAGCACUUUUGUUGGGGAAGAAAGGCAGUAGGUUAAUACCCCGCUGUUUUGACGGUACCCAAAGAAUAAGCACCGGCUAACUUCGUG